rnacentral:rRNA from 1 species
AUGAACGCUGGCGGCAGGCCUAACACAUGCAAGUCGAACGAGGCAGCAAUGCCUAGUGGCGGACGGGUGAGUAACGCGUGGGAACAUACCCUUUGGUACGGAAUAGCCUCGGGAAACUGAGAGUAAUACCGUAUGUGCCCUUCGGGGGAAAGAUUUAUCGCCAAAGGAUUGGCCCGCGUUGGAUUAGGUAGUUGGUGGGGUAAUGGCCUACCAAGCCGACGAUCCAUAGCUGGUUUGAGAGGAUGAUCAGCCACACUGGGACUGAGACACGGCCCAGACUCCUACGGGAGGCAGCAGUGGGGAAUCUUAGACAAUGGGGGAAACCCUGAUCUAGCCAUGCCGCGUGAUCGAUGAAGGCCUUAGGGUUGUAAAGAUCUUUCAGAUGGGAAGAUAAUGACGGUACCAUCAGAAGAAGCCCCGGCUAACUCCGU